rnacentral:rRNA from 1 species
UACGGAGGGUGCAAGCGUUAUCCGGAUUCACUGGGUUUAAAGGGAGCGUAGGUGGGUUGGUAAGUCAGUGGUGAAAUCCCUUCGCUUAACGAAGGAACUGCCAUUGAUACUGAGGUUCUUGAAUCUAGUUGACGUUAGUGGAAUGUGUCAUGUAGCGGUGAAAUGCUUAGAUAUGACACAGAACACCGAUCGCGAAGGCAGCUAACGAAGCUAGUAUUGACGCUCAGGCACGACAGCAUGGGGAGCAAACAGG